rnacentral:lncRNA from 1 species
UUAGAAUUUGCUGUUUUAGACACGUGGUUUGUAAUAUCCCACUAAUUAGCUAUUUUAAACAUGUGACAAGUGGUAUGACACUGUAUUGAUGUAUGUGAAAUGUAUAGAGUCUUUCAGUUAUCAGGUAAUGUCCAGGAGUUGACAGCAUGGUGUCUGAUUUAAAGUACGAACCUGUGUACGAGUAACAACCUUAUUCAAAACCAAAACCUAUUUAAACCAACCAAACCAAAACUAGCAACCAAAAACUAAUAUCUUGGCAUUGGUUUAUUUUAAACAUUUAUUAUAUAUGUGU